GAGGGAGAGAGGGAGGAGAGGUUUACUGGUCCUGGAGGGAGAGAGGGAUAGAGAGGAGAGUUUUACUGGUUCUGGAGGGAGAGAGAAGAGAGGUUUACUGGUUCUGGAGGGAGAGCGAGGAGAGGUUUACUGGUUCUGGAGGGAGAGAGAGGAGAGGUUUACUGGUCCUGAAGGGAGAGAGGGAUAGAGAGGAGAGGUUUACUGGUUCUGGAGGGAGAGAGAGGAGAGGUUUACUGGUCCUGAAGGGAGAGAGGGAUAGAGAGGAGAGGUUUACUGGUUCUGGAGGGAGAGAGAGGAGAGGUUUACUGGUCCUGGAGGGAUAGAGAGGAGAGGUUUACUGGUUCUAGAGGGAGAGAGAGGAGAGGUUUGACUACCUUUGACUACUGGAUGUUCUUAUAGGCACUUUAGUAUUGCCAG